AGCGUACACGGUGGAUGCCCUGGCAGUCAGAGGCGAUGAAGGACGUGCUAAUCUGCGAUAAGCGUCGGUAAGGUGAUAUGAACCGUUAUAACCGGCGAUUUCCGAAUGGGGAAACCCAGUGUGUUUCGACACACUAUCAUUAACUGAAUCCAUAGGUUAAUGAGGCGAACCGGGGGAACUGAAACAUCUAAGUACCCCGAGUAAAAGAAAUCAACCGAGAUUCCCCCAGUAGCGGCGAGCGAACGGGAGCAGCCCAGAGCCUGAAUCAGUGUGUGUGUUAGUGGAAGCGUCUGGAAAGGCGCGCGAUACAGGGUGACAGCCCCAUACACAAAAAUGCACAUGCUGUGAGCUCGAUGAGCAGGGCGGGACACGUGGUAUCCUGUCUGAAUAUGGGGGGACCAUCCUCCAAGGCUAAAUACUCCUGACUGACCGAUAGUGAACCAGUACCGUGAGGGAAAGGCGAAAAGAACCCCGGCGAGGGGAGUGAAAAAGAACCUGAAACCGUGUACGUACAAGCAGUGGGAGCACGCUUAGGCGUGUGAUUGCGUACCUUUUGUAUAAUGGGUCAGCGACUUAUAUUCUGUAGCAAGGUUAACCGAAUAGGGGAGCCGAAGGGAAACCGAGUCUUAACUGGGCGUUAAGUUGCAGGGUAUAGACCCGAAACCCGGUGAUCUAGCCAUGGGCAGGUUGAAGGUUGGGUAACACUAACUGGAGGACCGAACCGACUAAUGUUGAAAAAUUAGCGGAUGACUUGUGGCUGGGGGUGAAAGGCCAAUCAAACCGGGAGAUAGCUGGUUCUCCCCGAAAGCUAUUUAGGUAGCGCCUCGUGAAUUCAUCUCCGGGGGUAGAGCACUGUUUCGGCAAGGGGGUCAUCCCGACUUACCAACCCGAUGCAAACUGCGAAUACCGGAGAAUGUUAUCACGGGAGACACACGGCGGGUGCUAACGUCCGUCGUGAAGAGGGAAACAACCCAGACCGCCAGCUAAGGUCCCAAAGUCAUGGUUAAGUGGGAAACGAUGUGGGAAGGCCCAGACAGCCAGGAUGUUGGCUUAGAAGCAGCCAUCAUUUAAAGAAAGCGUAAUAGCUCACUGGUCGAGUCGGCCUGCGCGGAAGAUGUAACGGGGCUAAACCAUGCACCGAAGCUGCGGCAGCGACGCUUAUGCGUUGUUGGGUAGGGGAGCGUUCUGUAAGCCUGCGAAGGUGUGCUGUGAGGCAUGCUGGAGGUAUCAGAAGUGCGAAUGCUGACAUAAGUAACGAUAAAGCGGGUGAAAAGCCCGCUCGCCGGAAGACCAAGGGUUCCUGUCCAACGUUAAUCGGGGCAGGGUGAGUCGACCCCUAAGGCGAGGCCGAAAGGCGUAGUCGAUGGGAAACAGGUUAAUAUUCCUGUACUUGGUGUUACUGCGAAGGGGGGACGGAGAAGGCUAUGUUGGCCGGGCGACGGUUGUCCCGGUUUAAGCGUGUAGGCUGGUUUUCCAGGCAAAUCCGGAAAAUCAAAGGCUGAGGCGUGAUGACGAGGCACUACGGUGCUGAAGCAACAAAUGCCCUGCUUCCAGGAAAAGCCUCUAAGCAUCAGGUAACAUCAAAUCGUACCCCAAACCGACACAGGUGGUCAGGUAGAGAAUACCAAGGCGCUUGAGAGAACUCGGGUGAAGGAACUAGGCAAAAUGGUGCCGUAACUUCGGGAGAAGGCACGCUGAUAUGUAGGUGAAGUCCCUCGCGGAUGGAGCUGAAAUCAGUCGAAGAUACCAGCUGGCUGCAACUGUUUAUUAAAAACACAGCACUGUGCAAACACGAAAGUGGACGUAUACGGUGUGACGCCUGCCCGGUGCCGGAAGGUUAAUUGAUGGGGUCAGCGCAAGCGAAGCUCUUGAUCGAAGCCCCGGUAAACGGCGGCCGUAACUAUAACGGUCCUAAGGUAGCGAAAUUCCUUGUCGGGUAAGUUCCGACCUGCACGAAUGGCGUAAUGAUGGCCAGGCUGUCUCCACCCGAGACUCAGUGAAAUUGAACUCGCUGUGAAGAUGCAGUGUACCCGCGGCAAGACGGAAAGACCCCGUGAACCUUUACUAUAGCUUGACACUGAACAUUGAGCCUUGAUGUGUAGGAUAGGUGGGAGGCUUUGAAGUGUGGACGCCAGUCUGCAUGGAGCCGACCUUGAAAUACCACCCUUUAAUGUUUGAUGUUCUAACGUUGACCCGUAAUCCGGGUUGCGGACAGUGUCUGGUGGGUAGUUUGACUGGGG
rnacentral:rRNA from 1 species